GAUGAACGCUAGCGGCAGGCUUAAUACAUGCAAGUCGAGGGGUAGCAAGAUUGUAGCAAUACAAUUGUUGACGACCGGCAAACGGGUGCGGAACACGUACACAACCUUCCUACAAGUGGGGAAUAGCCCAGAGAAAUUUGGAUUAAUACCCCGUAACAUAGCGAUGUGGCAUCACAUUGCUAUUAUAGCUUCGGCGCUUGUUGAUGGGUGUGCGGCUGAUUAGAUAGUUGGCGGGGUAACGGCCCACCAAGUCUACGAUCAGUAGCUGAUGUGAGAGCAUGAUCAGCCACACGGUCACUGAGACACGGGCCCGACUCCUACGGGAGGCAGCAGUAAGGAAUAUUGGACAAUGGACGCAAGUUUGAUCCAGCCAUGCCGCGUGAAGGAUUAAGGUCCUCUGGAUUGUAAACUUCUUUUAUAAGGGACGAAAAAAGGUCUUUCUAGAUCGUCUGACGGUACCUUAUGAAUAAGCACCGGCUAACUCCGUGCCAGCCGCCGCAGUAAAAC
rnacentral:rRNA from 1 species